rnacentral:pre_miRNA from 1 species
UUUUUUUUGUUAAAUGCAGGGGCAAAAUGAUAUUUUUAUGUUAAAAACAAAAAAAAAAUGAAUAAAAAAUCAUAUCUUUAAAAUAACAAUGAAAGAAAAUCAAAUAAAAAACCAACCCAAAAAAAAAAAGAUAAAUUAAGUUUGGGGGAGUAGAAAUCGGGAUAGAAGGGGAGAGUGAGAGUUUAAUUUUAAUUUUUUAAUUUUUUAAUUUUUUAUGCAUAUUUUAAUCUAUUUUGAUACAAAAAUACAAUUUUGCCCCUGCAUUUAACAGAAAAGU